GGGGCAGCAGCUCAGUGGUAGGGCUCCCGCUUCGCAUGCAGGAAGACCUGGGUCCGAUUCCCAGCUGCAUCC
rnacentral:tRNA from 1 species